rnacentral:rRNA from 1 species
UACGUAGGGUGCGAGCGUUGUCCGGAGUUAUUGGGCGUAAAGAGCUUGUAGGCGGUUUGUCGCGUCUGCUGUGAAAAUCCGGGGCUCAACCCCGGACUUGCAGUGGGUACGGGCAGACUAGAGUGUGGUAGGGGAGACUGGAAUUCCGAGUGUAGCGGUGAAAUGCGUAGAUAUUCGGAAGAACACCGGUGGCGAAGGCGACCUUCUGGGCCACUACUGACGCUGAGGCACGAAAGCGUGGGGAGCAAACGGG